rnacentral:rRNA from 1 species
GAGAAGAUAGUGGCGAACGGGUGAGUAACACGUGGGUAACCUGCCCAUAAGAGGGGGAGUAACAUCCGGAAACGGUGCUAAUACCGCAUAGUUUUCUUGAUCGCAUGAUCGGGAAAGGAAAGACGGCCUUUGUGCUGUCGCUUAUGGAUGGACCCGCGGCGUAUUAGUUAGUUGGUGAGGUAACGGCUCACCAAGACGAUGAUACGUAGCCGACCUGAGAGGGUGAUCGGCCACAUUGGGACUGAGACACGGCCCAAACUCCUACGGGAGGCAGCAGUAGGGAAUCUUCCGCAAUGGACGAAAGUCUGACGGAGCAACGCCGCGUGAGUGAAAGAAGGUUUUCGGAUCGUAAAACUCUGUUGUCAGAGAAGAACAAGUUGGAGAGUAACUGCUCCAGCCUUGACGGUAUCUGACCAGAAAGCCACGGCUAACUACGUGCCAGCCGCGGC